GCUGGGCAUGGUGGUGCAUGCCUGUAAUCCCAGCUACCUGGGAGGCUGAGUCAGGAGAAUAGCUUGAACCCAGGAGGUAGAGGUUGCAGUGAGCCAAGAUCGUGCCACUGCACUCUAGCCUGGGUGACAGAGUGAGACUCCGUCUCAA
ensembl:misc_RNA Metazoa_SRP Metazoan signal recognition particle RNA